rnacentral:tRNA from 1 species
UAAAUGGAAGCAAACCUUGCACCUAUCUGUUAAUUAGGCUUAUGCCGCCACGCCGGGCGGCCCAUUUAA